GAGAAAGUACAACACAAGAUGUACAUGGCAGCAAAAUCCUUUUCCAUGGAAAAUGCAAAGAAGAGCUAUACAAAAAUUACAAAUGUAAUUCAACUUCAAAGCUUAUCAAGAAUGAAACAACAAAAGAAAGCUAUAAAUCCUGAUCAGGAUUGGAUUUCCCAAUUCCCACACAAGAACCCAGGAAGAAAAAUUCUUGAAAAGGGUGCAUAAGAAAUAGUUGAACGGAGAAAAAGUUGAAAAUUACUCCAAUUAUACGUUUUGAAAUGAGAAAAGACAGUUUCGUACGAGGCUCAUCAUCUCUUCCAGCUUCGACUCCUUGAUAAUGGAUCUCUCAUUCCACCAACAACCCAUGUUUCUUUUGCUAUAUCAGAUGAGAUUUUGUAGAAAUUGGUGUCGUAUCUCAUAACCACCAAGCUCUCUUUCUUCAUAUUUCUUUUUUCUUCUUCCAUUAAUGCCUCUAAACUCCUUCCUUUCUUCUCUUCUGUUUUCCUAUCCUCUUCUUCUUCUUUUUCUUCUUCUUCUUCAUCGUCGUUUUCUACUUCUUCUUCAUCUUCUUCCCGUUCUUCUACCUUCUCUUCUAGCCAGCUCUUUGCAGGAGCAGAACGGCACCGCAUGAGCAACAGAGCGUUGGGAGGAGGAACGGAAGGUGUAGCAAUGGGCUCAUCAUUGCAGGGCUUCUCUUUCUCUUUGUCUUUUCUCUUUUCUCUGCAAAACUCGGUGUUUUGAUUCUCUUGUAACACCAUGAACCAUUUAGAAAACAUGGUACUUGAACCUUCAUUGCCAUCACUUGCCCCAGAUCCACCGUGAUUUUCUCGAAAUUCUUCAUCUUCUUCAUCCUCUUCAUCUUCAUCGGUAGUGAUAUCUGUCUGAGGAAUGGACCCGAAGCAUCGAAAAUCGAAUCUUAUGUUUCUUAAACAUGUCAAGAAUUGCAUUAUAUCUUUCUUGAAUCCAAGAGAAUCCAUCCAAGAGGAUCUUUUCUUGUGUUUCCUGUUGUUGUGAAUUCUUUCAAUUUCCUCCAUGACUGAUUGCCAGCUCUUGCAUGCAACGGUUUUGUGCCUGACUUUGAUCUGCCCAGCACAGGUCACCUUCGGUGAAGUUGGUUCUGAUGAGAUCUCCGAGCCCAUUUGCUUGUUUUUGGCCCAUAACAGCGGGCUAGCUUGACCACCACUACCACCUCUAGUGCUAGAUUUCUUCAGGCGGUGGCGGUGGCGGAGGUGACGGUUGCUGUGGUUGUGGUGGCGUUUGCUGGGCUCUACUGGUCUUGCAGGACUGCAAAUGGGCUUGGGCAGUAAGGUAAGAUGGGCUCUAGAAGGAAAACACACCAACAGAUCUGCUGAUGGAGCUCCUUUGUUGGCUUCCCUCGCUUUCAUCUUUCUACUAAGCCAACCACUGGAUCACUUUCUUCUUCUUGCCGGUUCUUUCUUUUAGAUCUUAAGGUUGAUGAAGCGUAAACGGUUAAUGAGUCUCUCGAGAGAUGGAUGGUUUUAAAAGAAAGGAGGCAAGAGAUGGACAGCUUUCAUUUGCUUUUUCAUCCUUUUUAAUUGGUAUAAUCUCUUUACCAUCUGUUUUGUUCAUUUUUCUAACACCCCUUUUUGCCAGAAUUUGAAAUGGGGUCACAAAGUGAGCUUCACCCGUGGCCUCUGCUUUUCAAAUGCUCGCCAAACCCAUUAAAAAAAAAAUUCUAUAUAAAUAAAACUAAAGUCGAGUAGGAAAAGUUGAAACCCACGAGCCAUGUUUCAUGAUCCAAUCAUACCCUCAACUUGUGAUACUUUGUGACUUGUGAGACAUUGCCUGUUAUAUUACUCAUGCCCACUAGCUCUACUACCUUCACACAUAUCAACAAUUAGCUACCUUGGUGCUUAUUUCUAUAAAAAAAAAAAAAAAUUAAGCAGCAACAGUUAAUUAUUAUUUUAUAUAUAUUUCAUCUGUAAUUAUUAUUAAUUUUAUGCUAAUUAAUUAACCUCUAACCUCGUAUGCUACUAGAAGCAAAUAAAGAAGAAAAAGAGUGGGAGACUGAUCACUGUUAAAUUACAGACAAAGAAUGUUAAUUUUGAGGACAAGAAUAUAAAAAAGGACACCGAAAGUUUCAACAGUGUGAAGAAAUGGAUUAUGUAAAGUGAGUAAUUGCCAUAAUGAAGGGAGUAAUGCACUCGAGAACAUGAAUGGUCCCCCCCGAAAGUCCAACAAUUACACCUUGCGUUAGGAUUAGGCUUCUUUGCUUUUGGUUGGGACCUUCCAUGAAGGAGCAGCAGCUCCAUAGGAUAAAUCUUGCUGUUGAUGGUUUGUAGUUAUCAUCAUCAUGGGGACAAUUGUGGGGACUCUGAGUUGC
rnacentral:lncRNA from 1 species